AUGCGAAACCGGGUGUCGCUUCGGCUGGCCUCCGGUCGUCCUAGGGUCGCGCCUAGGGCCUGAUGAGCAGCGCACG
rfam:Agrobacterium tumefaciens str. C58 circular chromosome, complete sequence.